rnacentral:rRNA from 1 species
AACGAACGCUGGCGGCGCGCCUAAUACAUGCAAGUCGAGCGAGAAGGUGUAGCAAUACACUUGUAAAGCGGCAAACGGGUGAGGAAUGCAUGGGUAACCUACCCUCGAGUGGGGAAUAACUAGCCGAAAGGUUAGCUAAUACCGCAUACGUUUCCGGAACUUCGGUUUCGGAAAGAAAGCAAUACCGUGGGUAUUGCGCUCCUGGAUGGGCUCAUGUCCUAUCAGCUUGUUGGUGAGGUAACGGCUCACCAAGGCUUCGACGGGUAGCUGGUCUGAGAGGACGAUCAGCCACACUGGCACUGCGACACGGGCCAGACUCCUACGGAGGCAGCAGUAAGGAAUAUUGCGCAAUGGACGACAGUCUGACGCAGCGACGCCGCGUGGGGGAUGAAGGUCUUCGGAUUGUAAACCCCUUUCGGGAGGGAAGAUGGAGUGGGUAACCACUUGGACGGUACCUCCAGAAGCAGCCACGGCUAACUUCGUGCCAGCAGCCGCGGUAAU